CGAACCGGGGGAACUGAAACAUCUAAGUACCCCGAGGAAAAGAAAUCAACCGAGAUUCCCCCAGUAGCGGCGAGCGAACGGGGAGCAGCCCAGAGUCUGAAUCAGCUUGUGUGUUAGUGGAACGGUCUGGAAAGUCCGACGGUACAGGGUGAUAGUCCCGUACACCAAAAUGCACAGGUUGUGAACUCGAAGAGUAGGGCGGGACACGUGGUAUCCUGUCUGAAUAUGGGGGGACCAUCCUCCAAGGCUAAAUACUCCUGACUGACCGAUAGUGAACCAGUACCGUGAGGGAAAGGCGAAAAGAACCCCGGCGAGGGGAGUGAAAAAGAACCUGAAACCGUGUACGUACAAGCAGUGGGAGCACCUUCGGGUGUGACUGCGUACCUUUUGUAUAAUGGGUCAGCGACUUAUAUUCUGUAGCAAGGUUAACCGUAUAGGGGAGCCGCAGGGAAACCGAGUCUUAACUGGGCGUUAAGUUGCAGGGUAUAGACCCGAAACCCGGUGAUCUAGCCAUGGGCAGGUUGAAGGUUGGGUAACACUAACUGGAGGACCGAACCGACUAAUGUUGAAAAAUUAGCGGAUGACUUGUGGCUGGGGGUGAAAGGCCAAUCAAACCGGGAGAUAGCUGGUUCUCCCCGAAAGCUAUUUAGGUAGCGCCUCGUGAACUCAUCUUCGGGGGUAGAGCACUGUUUCGGCUAGGGGGUCAUCCCGACUUACCAACCCGAUGCAAACUACGAAUACCGAAGAAUGUUAUCACGGGAGACACACGGCGGGUGCUAACGUCCGUCGUGAAGAGGGAAACAACCCAGACCGCCAGCUAAGGUCCCAAAGUCAUGGUUAAGUGGGAAACGAUGUGGGAAGGCACAGACAGCCAGGAUGUUGGCUUAGAAGCAGCCAUCAUUUAAAGAAAGCGUAAUAGCUCACUGGUCGAGUCGGCCUGCGCGGAAGAUGUAACGGGGCUAAACCAUGCACCGAAGCUGCGGCAGCGACACUAUGUGUUGUUGGGUAGGGGAGCGUUCUGUAAGCCUGCGAAGGUGUGCUGUGAGGCAUGCUGGAGGUAUCAGAAGUGCGAAUGCUGACAUAAGUAACGAUAAAGCGGGUGAAAAGCCCGCUCGCCGGAAGACCAAGGGUUCCUGUCCAACGUUAAUCGGGGCAGGGUGAGUCGACCCCUAAGGCGAGGCCGAAAGGCGUAGUCGAUGGGAAACAGGUUAAUAUUCCUGUACUUGGUGUUACUGCGAAGGGGGGACGGAGAAGGCUAUGUUAGCCGGGCGACGGUUGUCCCGGUUUAAGCAUGUAGGCUGGUUAUCCAGGCAAAUCCGGAUAAUCAAGGCUGAGGUGUGAUGACGAGGCACUACGGUGCUGAAGUAACAAAUGCCCUGCUUCCAGGAAAAGCCUCUAAGCAUCAGGUAACAUCAAAUCGUACCCCAAACCGACACAGGUGGUCAGGUAGAGAAUACCAAGGCGCUUGAGAGAACUCGGGUGAAGGAACUAGGCAAAAUGGUGCCGUAACUUCGGGAGAAGGCACGCUGGUGUGUAGGUGAAGUCCCUGCGGAUGGAGCUGAGACCAGUCGAAGAUACCAGCUGGCUGCAACUGUUUAUUAAAAACACAGCACUGUGCAAACACGAAAGUGGACGUAUACGGUGUGACGCCUGCCCGGUGCCGGAAGGUUAAUUGAUGGGGUUAUCCGUAAGGAGAAGCUCUUGAUCGAAGCCCCGGUAAACGGCGGCCGUAACUAUAACGGUCCUAAGGUAGCGAAAUUCCUUGUCGGGUAAGUUCCGACCUGCACGAAUGGCGUAAUGAUGGCCAGGCUGUCUCCACCCGAGACUCAGUGAAAUUGAACUCGCUGUGAAGAUGCAGUGUACCCGCGGCAAGACGGAAAGACCCCGUGAACCUUUACUAUAGCUUGACACUGAACAUUGAGCCUUGAUGUGUAGGAUAGGUGGGAGGCUUUGAAGCGUGGACGCCAGUCUGCGUGGAGCCAACCUUGAAAUACCACCCUUUAAUGUUUGAUGUUCUAACGUUGGCCCCUGACCGGGGUUGCGGACAGUGUCUGGUGGGUAGUUUGACUGGGGCGGUCUCCUCCCAAAGCGUAACGGAGGAGCACGAAGGUUAGCUAAUCCUGGUCGGACAUCAGGAGGUUAGUGCAAUGGCAUAAGCUAGCUUGACUGCGAGCGUGACGGCGCGAGCAGGUGCGAAAGCAGGUCAUAGUGAUCCGGUGGUUCUGAAUGGAAGGGCCAUCGCUCAACGGAUAAAAGGUACUCCGGGGAUAACAGGCUGAUACCGCCCAAGAGUUCAUAUCGACGGCGGUGUUUGGCACCUCGAUGUCGGCUCAUCACAUCCUGGGGCUGAAGUAGGUCCCAAGGGUAUGGCUGUUCGCCAUUUAAAGUGGUACGCGAGCUGGGUUUAGAACGUCGUGAGACAGUUCGGUCCCUAUCUGCCGUGGGCGCUGGAGAAUUGAGGGGGGCUGCUCCUAGUACGAGAGGACCGGAGUGGACGCAUCACUGGUGUUCGGGUUGUCAUGCCAAUGGCACUGCCCGGUAGCUAAAUGCGGAAGAGAUAAGUGCUGAAAGCAUCUAAGCACGAAACUUGCCCCGAGAUGAGUUCU
rnacentral:rRNA from 1 species